AUGGUGGAGCACCUCCUUGAUCUUGGCGAAGAUCUUAUCGCCGACAUCUUGACCAACCUGCCGACGAGGUCCGUCCUCGUCGCGCGCGCCGUCUGCAUCGACUUCCGCCGCGUUGCCACCAGCGCGGCCUUCCUCGCCGCCCACGCGCGCCGUCGCCCGCUGGCCCCGCUCGAGAUCCUCCUCUACGACAGGACGACGGCAGGCCACGUCGACGACUACGUGUACCUGGACGCUCUGUCCGUCUCCGUCCGCCAUCCGGGCCGCCCGGCGCGCCGUCCGCUCGCGCGCCUCCCCGCGACCAAACCCCAGGCGGAGCUCCUGGGCGAGCAGUUCUGCCUCCCGCUGGCCUCGUGCGACGGCCUCCUCCUGCUCGGGACGGCCGUCGCCGGCCAGUACCUCGUCUCCAACCCCACCACGCGGCAGUGGGCCGAGCUCCCGCGGCUGCGCCGCCAACACAUUGAGGACGGCGGCCGGUCGCUGGAGUCCUUGCAUACCUCCGCGUACCAAGAGUCCGGGUUCUACUUCCACGAGCCGUCCAGCGAUUACCGGCUUCUGUGUCACGUCACCUUCGAAGAAGGCUUGCCCCCGGCGUACUACAUCUUCUCGACCGGCGCCGACGAGCCCCGCCAGCUAGACAACGUGAAAGCCGGGAGCAUGGGGGACUUCUUUUCCCCGUCUGGCUGUGACAUGAUCACCCCGGCGGUUCUCCGCGGGUACCUGCACUGGCUGAGGCACCCCGAGGCCGGUUCGGCCGGCGAGAUGGCGGCGUUCGACACGGCGGACGAGACUUUCCGGCGGAUGCCUGCCCCGCCCGUGGCCAACGAGCUCUUGGCCAGACUGCUCGUCGCGGACGGGUCGCUCAUGGCGUCCGAGUUCAGGAAGCUAGCCGUGGACCUGUGGGUGCUCCAGGGUUACGCUGGCGCCGCUUCUGCAUCCGCGGGAGGGACGAGGUGGGAGCUUCGUCACAGCUUUGAGGUGCCGUGGCAGGCCAGAAUGCCGACGUCCGCCCUGGUCGUGAUCGGCGGCGACGAGGAGGGGGACGUCGUCUUGGGCACCCGCCAUGGUGUGGCCGUGUACAACGUGCGGAGCGGGACGGUCAGGGCCGUCGACGUCGGGCCCAAGGGCUCUAAGGGCUUUAGACUGACGCAGCGCGCGCUAAGGAUACGGGAGAGUUUGGUGCGGCACACGUUUUUCGAGACGCAGCGGCAUCCCGGCAUUCCAUCGUUGUAUUGGCGGUUUUGUUCUUGUUAA
rnacentral:rRNA from 1 species